AAUAAGAAAAAAGACAAUGUAGCAGAAUAUCUGGGACACAGCUAAAGCAGUGUUUAGAGGGAAAUUUAGAGCACUAAAUAUCCACAGGAGAGAGCAGGAAAGAUCUAAAAUCAACAACCUAAAAUUACAAUUAAAAGAACUAGAGAAACAAGAUCAAACAAAUUCGGUCGGUGGCGCUUCGCUCUGUCCCGAGCCAGCAUGAUCCGCUUGGCCCCCAGCGCAUCUCCUGGAAGAGCCCACUCACCCUGGACGAGCUCUUCGGUAGCCUCAGACUGUCCUUGAAGAGGAUGACUGAAACAUUAUGGGCCACGCGCUGUGUGUCUGCUCUCGGGGAACUGUCAUCAUUGACAAUAAGCGCUACCUCUUCAUCCAGAAACUGGGGGAGGGUGGGUUCAGCUAUGUGGACCUAGUGGAAGGGUUACAUGAUGGACACUUCUACGCCCUGAAGCGAAUCCUGUGUCAGGAGCAGCAGGACCGAGAGGAGGCCCAGCGAGAAGCCGACAUGCAUCGCCUUUUCAGUCACCCCAACAUCCUUCGCCUGGUGGCUUACUGUCUGAGGGAGCGGGGUGCUAAGCAUGAGGCCUGGCUGCUGCUACCGUUCUUCAAGAGGGGUACGCUGUGGAAUGAGAUAGAAAGGCUGAAGGACAAAGGCAACUUCCUGACCGAGGAUCAAAUCCUUUGGCUGCUGCUGGGGAUCUGCAGAGGCCUUGAGGCCAUUCAUGCCAAGGGUUAUGCCCACAGGGACUUGAAGCCCACCAAUAUAUUGCUCGGAGAUGAGGGGCAGCCAGUUUUAAUGGACUUGGGUUCUAUGAAUCAAGCAUGCAUCACUGUGGAGGGCUCCCGCCAGGCUCUGACCCUGCAGGACUGGGCAGCCCAGCGGUGCACCAUCUCCUACCGAGCCCCAGAGCUCUUCUCUGUGCAGAGUCACUGUGUCAUCGAUGAGCGGACUGAUGUCUGGUCCCUAGGCUGCGUGCUAUAUGCCAUGACGUUUGGAGAAGGCCCUUAUGACAUGGUGUUCCAAAAGGGUGACAGUGUGGCCCUUGCUGUGCAGAACCAACUCAGCAUCCCACAAAGCCCCAGGCAUUCUUCAGCAUUGCGGCAGCUCCUGGCCUCGAUGAUGACUGUGGACCCGCAUCAGCGUCCUCACAUUCCUCUCCUUCUCAGUCAGCUGGCAUUGGAAUUUCUACCCAUUCCAUCCAGGACUGCUCUUACACUUGGGGGUAGCGGGGUCAGGACAAUCAUCUUAGUCCUGCAUCUGCUCUUCUGCUUUCUUCCAAGAGCAAAACCUGGGCAAGGGGCCUUACUGAGUGGGAGUGGGUGGGGGUUGGGAAAAGGGAAAUGGUGGGAUACGGAGCAUGGCUCUGAGCAGGACUGUUGA